UGGGAGCUUGCUCCCUGAGAUUAGCGGCGGACGGGUGAGUAACACGUGGGUAACCUGCCUGUAAGAUUGGGAUAACUCCGGGAAACCGGAGCUAAUACCGGAUAACAUUUCGAACCGCAUGGUUCGGAAUUGAAAGAUGGUUUCGGCUAUCACUUACAGAUGGACCCGCGGCGCAUUAGCUAGUUGGUGAGGUAAUGGCUCACCAAGGCGACGAUGCGUAGCCGACCUGAGAGGGUGAUCGGCCACACUGGGACUGAGACACGGCCCAGACUCCUACGGGAGGCAGCAGUAGGGAAUCUUCCGCAAUGGACGAAAGUCUGACGGAGCAACGCCGCGUGAACGAUGAAGGCCUUCGGGUCGUAAAGUUCUGUUGUUAGGGAAGAACAAGUACCAGAGUAACUGCUGGUACCUUGACGGUACCUAACCAGAAAGCCACGGCUAACUACGUGCCAGCAGCCGCGGUAAUACGUAGGUGGCAAGCGUUGUCCGGAAUUAUUGGGCGUAAAGCGCGCGCAGGUGGUUCUUUAAGUCUGAUGUGAAAGCCCACGGCUCAACCGUGGAGGGUCAUUGGAAACUGGGGAACUUGAGUGCAGAAGAGGAAAGUGGAAUUCCAAGUGUAGCGGUGAAAUGCGUAGAGAUUUGGAGGAACACCAGUGGCGAAGGCGACUUUCUGGUCUGUAACUGACACUGAGGCGCGAAAGCGUGGGGAGCGAACAGGAUUAGAUACCCUGGUAGUCCACGCCGUAAACGAUGAGUGCUAAGUGUUAGAGGGUUUCCGCCCUUUAGUGCU
rnacentral:rRNA from 2 species